GAGGCAUGUGAGGGCUGUCGCUGACUUUUUAACGCAAAAGGUCGUGCACGCCCGGAGCGUGUCCUCUCGCAUAAAAUCCAUCUCACCCUUUUGUGCACCACCGCGUGGGCACCCUUUGGGAUCAAACCGAUCCAGGAGGGCGCUUGCGUUUUCACACAAACCCCCUUUUAAAAGUGUAGAAUGACCCCAUUUUUGCGAUAACACGCAAUCAAAUACAACUUUCAACAACGGAUCUCUUGGCUCUCGCAUCGAUGAAGAACGCAGCGAAAUGCGAUACGUAAUGUGAAUUGCAGAAUUCAGUGAAUCAUCGAAUCUUUGAACGCACCUUGCGCCCCUUGGUAUUCCGAGGGGCACACCCGUUUGAGUGUCGUGAAAAUCUCAACCUCCUCGGUUUCUUCUGGACGCCGAAGGAGGCUUGGACUUUGGAGGCCUUUGCUGGCGUCUCUCGCCAGCUCCUCUCAAAUGAAUUAGCGGGGUCCUCUUUGCCGAUCCUCGACGUGUGAUAAGAUGUUUCCAUGUCUUGGUUUCUGGCUCUGUCGCCUUUGGGACCCGCUUCUAACCGUCUCAAGUCGAGACAACGUUUGAGCGUGUCUCCCUUCUCGGGAAACACCCUCGAGCCCACGAACCCUUGACCUCAAAUCGGGUGAGACUACCCGCUGAACUUAAGCAUAUCAAU
rnacentral:rRNA from 1 species